CUUGGUAAGGAUGAUCUACUGUUCUAUUGGGGAGGCUCACGGAAUCUAGACGCCACAAAAGAUGUUCGACCCGCACCUAUAAACCUACCCGUCCUGCUAACAAGAUAUGGGAUACAAAGGUAACUCGGAAAUGUCACGUUCCUCGCUACUACCACGGUCCAGCUAGUCAGGGAAUAUCUAUGAGUACCCUAGCCUAAACACCACGUUUACGCUAGCAAGUGAUUACUCUAAUACUCAACCGGAAGAGGAUUAAAGUAAACUCAUAAACCAAAGAACAAUAAAACAAGAACUUACUAGAAUUAGAAGUCGAAUUACUGAAGAAUCUUAGAAGCAAGCCUCGAGUUAGGAGACUUGAUCCCGCAGGUACAACUCACAGUAGACACCGACAGGUCGGCCUUCCUCCGAUCCACACCUCCACUCUAUCUCUCUCAAUCUAGUAGAAACUAGAAGAUCUAUUUCUACUUACAUUGGUUGCUAAGCCUAAAAAGAAAUAUUAUUUAGAGAAGAGGUUUUCCUUCGAGGGCACCCCUCAAUCUCUAUGAUAAUUUCUUGUCUUCUCCAGGGGCGAGGAGGGUAUCCUUAUAUAGUCCUCCUCCUCUAUGCAUUUUUGGUUCAGCAGGCAAUGUGGUACUAAACUUUCCACCAUAUCUCAUUAAAAUACACAUAGGCCUUCAUGGACCAAAAUCUGAUUUGGGCCCAAUUAAUCCCGCAGCUCUUUUAUGUAGAGUUCUUCUUUUAUUAAUAUCUCUUAAUUCCGAACUCCAAAUAUAGCAAAUAAUAUAUGCAUUUCGAUCAGCUCGACGAGAUCUUUGCAAUGGUGUACUCCAUUCUGUGAUUGGUGGAAACACCUGGGCAGGCGCCCAAGGGGAGAGGGCGGGCGCCCUACCCCCGGGCCCGUUCGGCCUCCCGUUCGUUCCCGUGGUUUCUGGACUAUUCUAGAUGAUAGAAAAUUGCACGGCACGUUAAUAUCUCUAUGUAAACCCGACAUAUGGGCCUUUCUUCCUUAUUUCUUGAUAACCCCCUGCAGAAAUAAACAAAUACCAAAACUCGUUGAAUCCUGUCAGAUAAAACCCUAAGUCUAGGUGUUGAUUGCAUUUGGAUCCUUUUCUUUAUUUAUUUCAUGAUUAUAUUUGAUACUUAAGGACCGUCAACAAACUCCCCCAAGCUUACCUCUUGCUCGUCCCUGAGCAAGGAUGAACUCAAGAGUUUCUGCAGUGGUUUCAUGCCUUAAAAGUACAAACGCAUUCAAGUAAGAUCUCAUCUCUAAGUUAGAAUAAACUGUUAAGACUUAAAACUUACUAAUUUUACCUUUCACCAUGGGGCUUGUAACUGUCUCUUGUGUCUUGAGCAGCUAAAAGAUAGAACGGUCAAGUCAAGCGCCAUGUCUCUUAUUCUUAAUCAGCUAUAGCUCUGGAGUUUUUUUGCAGAUUUUUAAAUAAAACUCAGAGAUUCCUUAUAUGACUCUCUGAGAUCUCUCUUUUGUGGUAUUUCUGGAUCCUUUCCAAGACAGUAAUAGUAUAUGCCUUCUCUCAAAGUAUGUGGUAUUUUUGGUAUGAGGCAUAGUGAUAUUACCUUCUCUCUCACCCUACUCUAAUAAGGUUUUGAUAUCUGGAGCUCAUAGGUUGGAGACAACUAAUACAUACUUACAAGACAUUUAUUGCAUAGUCAAACCAUGGAUCCAGAGAAACAAGUCAAUAAGUCAAAUCAAGAUGUGCAUGUGUGGCGAGUGAAUGGUGUAUGGUGAUGAUGGUGAUAACAAUGGUGAAAGUCUAAUUCUACUUUUGCUCUUUUAAGGGGAUACAUACCUUUCUUGCACUUUGAAGCUUUUUGGGAGAAUGAGAUGCUCUAUAUUUUCUUUUUCUUUCCUCUCAGGUGGGUAUCUUGUACCCCUAAUUCUACUGUCGGACACUUGUCCAUUUUUACCUCUCGUCUCACUUUUUUUUCUUUUUCUUCGAGGUUCCGGGCACUUGCCCCUUUUUAUUUCCUCAUAUUCUUUUUCUUUUCUUUUCUUUUUUUUCUUUUUUUAGAUCACUCAUCUCCUGAAAUAAUAUAGCAAGUGGUAGUAACCAAGAUAACUCGAGCAUUUAUUUCACAGGGAAAAAUAGAAAUAGGAGAAUAUUUUUUGGCUAUUCUCUCCCGGAUUAGGAGUAGAAUAAUUUUAGGUGACUCUGGAGAUGGAAGUGAGUGGAUAUAUGUGGAUGCGUACUUCCGGAGUAGAAGCAGUAUGUGUGAGUGAACGUGCAAGUGAAUCUUGAUUUUAACCGCAUGACAAGCUCCUAAGGGUCUACACAGCUUGACCACACUCAAUGCUCAUAAGCAGUAAAAAGUAAAUGUAUGGUUCAUAGUCUAAUAAGCAUUAUAUAUGGCUAUGGUAGGAUUUUAAACUCGCAUCAUACAGGAACUCAUCAUGUGUUAUUUUAAAGAUUUUCAAAGAUAAAAUUCUCCAGAAUUAUAGCAUCUCUAGGAACAGAUAAACAGCAGCUCAACCUUCCCAUAUCAUAUCCGUUAACGACUUAGACUUUAGAUCAAGUACUCUUCCCACAAGUUCAGGUUUAGAGCAAAUCUUACUUCAUAACAGUCAUGCCUCAACUUGAGAGAGAUUUCAAUUUUAAGAACUAGUCAUGGCACAGCAACUAUUCAUCAUUUCCAUGUGAGAGUUUAUCAUGAGUGUUCAUAGCAAACUUUAUUUAUUUAUUUAUUUAGCAAACUAAGCAAAGAUAUAUAUAUAUAUAUAUAUAUAUAUAUAUAUAUAUAUAUAUAUAUAUAUAUAUAUAUAUAUAUAAAAGCACAAAAUCUUUAUUUGGGUUUUCAUGAUUAUGCAUCUUUUAUUAUUUGAGUAAAGUAUAAACGCGAGUAGAAACACUUAGCUGGAUAAAUGGGGGUGCUCUCCCCCAAGCUGGAUUUUGACGUAAUUUCUUCUGAUGUAGGUAGCAGGUGGUGGAGGUGUAUUUGAAAGUCGGCAGCACCCUGACAGCGAUUAGGAUGUCCUCCGUCUGCUAGUCUUCUUUGAUCCUUAAAUUCUGUGGAGCUCAAAUAGACAACAAAGCUUUGUGAAACUGGUUAAGUGUUAGCAUAAAUAUCUAGCCUUUAUCAUGUUGAGCCUCCUCAAUAAAUAUUACUUAUUUAGCAGGAUCAUGCACUUAUUAUUUUUAUAUUUUUAUUGUAAGAUGAAAACUUAUUUAUUUUAUUUUUAUGCCACCACAGUGAAUGUACUUAUGGGUUUUAUGCUAUGAGCAUACUCACAUGGGGCUUACUAUUUUUUUAACAUUUUUAUUUUCUUUUCAAGAUAACAUGAACCUAAUUAACUAAGCAAACUAUAAUUGAAUAAUUGAAAGGAAAAGGAUAACUACCAAGUUUACCUCUUGGCAAGGUGUUCGGUGUUUUUAAGUCCUCCGAAUGGGACUCCUUGUGUUUUCAGUCGUCUUGGGAUUCGCUAGGUGGCGUAGUCGGUGGUUCCGGCGGCGCCUCCUCUUCGUGUGUAACUAUCUUCUCUCUCCACACCUGACUCGGUGCUACGGUCUCCUCAGGACAGUUUUGUUCAAGUUGUAUGUCUUCAGUCCUUAUCACUUCUCCUUCGUAGUCUACCCAUCCGUCCUUGAUGAUUUGCCUCCUCUGGUUGCGGUUGUGUUGUCUUCUUCUUGUCCUGACCUGCUUAGAGUCUUCAACUAAAUAGUUAGGGUCAGUAAAAUAACGGCGUACCUUCUCAGAGGGGAAGUGCAUGUGGACUUCUCCGGUUCCAAUAUUGAUAAUGGCUUUGAUAGUGCUGAGGAACUGUCUUCCAAGGAUGAUGGUGGAUCGUACUCGUCGUCUCCCAUGUCAAUGACCAGAAAAUCAUCUGGAGCUGAAUGUAUAUUGGUUGUAGAGGCAUGGUCCCAUGCAGGAGCUGAUAAGUGACUGCGGCCAUUGUGUUGACGUCAGAUCCGGUGUCAUAGAGUGUCUUCUAAAAAGAGUAUCUAUUGAUUGAGCACUCGAUGCUUGGAACACCAGGGUCGUCCUUCUUGAUCAAGAAAGGUGACUUGAGUCGACGAUCUUGACUUCCUUGAGCUGUAGUGACCAUCUUAGCUGACUCGGUCCACAUUUGCUUGUUUCUGUUCCUCCUGUUGGUCCUCUUCCUUGGUUCAUGUCGGGAUUGCUCUGAAGUUUGUGUAGUCUUGUUCUUCAAGGAAAGUCUCCUUCUUCCCCUUGAUGUAGAGUCUGAUCUUGGCAGCAUUAGCGUAGAUGACAGCUCUGGUGUUUAGGAAUGGCCUCCCUAAGAUGAUGGGUGCCCUCUCCUCAGUACCAGUCUCUAUCACCACGAAGUUUGCUGGAGCGUACAAGGUACCAACUCGGACACAGAGGUUCUUCAAUAUUUCCUUUGGGAAACUAAGUGUCUGAUCUCCAUUGUGUUUGUGCUCGUAGAUCCCGGUUCUUCACUUGGUGGAAUCUGGGAGUUGUAAAACUCCUCCGUGUUUUGCUUGAAGUGUACCUGUUCAUAGAGACAAGGUAGAGAUCAAGUGCAUAGGCCCUGUUGGUGGAAAACACCAACAGAACCAGAAGUGUAAUUAUUCUUCUCUAACCUUAAGCAUAGUGAGCAAGACAAAGUUGAUGGAUAAUGAGAUCAUGAGUGUAGUAUUUAAAACAUUUGUCAGAUCAGAUUGAUCGACCUAAGAUAAUCUAUCUAUGUAUAUGUCUUUUUUCUUUAUAUCUUCCCAAAGAUUGAAUGUGCAACAUUUUAGCUUAUAUGAUUGGGAGUGUG
rnacentral:lncRNA from 1 species